GCGGUUGUAGUCUAGCCUGGUAGGAUACCUGCCUGCCACGCAGGAAACCCGGGUCCGAAUCCCGGCGACCGCACCA
rnacentral:tRNA from 1 species